AAAGAAACUUGAUCGAUAAAGCUAUAAAAAGAAACCGGGCAAAGAUAUGGGUCUUCGAAUCUGAGCUCCCAAAUGCUCUCUCUUUCUACACCUUUUUGAGGCAAACGAAAUGGCCGCCGAUAUCUGGCACUUCAUCAAGCUUUAUUGCAGAUGGGUAUGUGAGUGACGACAUUUAGGGCCACCGCCAUCAGAGCAACUAGAGAGGCACUGGUGUUUGAAACCGCCAUUGGGAAUGAGAGAGGUGGAGAGAGAGAGAGAGAGAGGGAAUUGCAUCAGAGAGAGAGAGAGAGAGAGAGAGAGAGAGAGAUAAUGAAUACGCAUAAUGGAGUGAACUAUUAGUACCCAACAGAAAAGGGAUUUCGUGAUUUCUCCGUGCCUCCGGCGAACCUCCAACGGGUCUUGGGGUUUUGUUGGAGAUGAGAACAGCCAUAUGAAGGAAAAGGAAUUUCGAGGGGCAUCUUUGUAAAGCAAGUGGUGUAAGAGAGGGCAAUUAAGUCAUGUAAUGAAAUGAACACUUUGGCAAGAACGUUUUGGCAUUAUCAGAAAACUUCAUAUGGUAAAAACGCA